rnacentral:tRNA from 1 species
GCCUGGGUGGCUCAGUCGGUUGAGCAUCCGACUUCGGCUCAGGUCAUGAUCUCACGUGACGUGAGUUCGAGCCCCGCGUCAGGCU